rnacentral:rRNA from 1 species
AUUGAACGCUGGCGGCAGGCCUAACACAUGCAAGUCGAGCGAGCGGCGGACGGGUGAGUAAUGUCUGGGAAACUGCCUGAUGGGGGGGGAUAACUACUGGAAACGGUAGCUAAUACCGCAUACCAUAAGAUGUGCCCAGAUGGGAUUAGCUGGUAGGGGGGGUAACGUCGCACCUAGGCGACGAUCCCUAGUUGGUCUGAAAGGAUGACCAGCCACACUUGAACUGAGACACGGUCCAGACUCCGACGGGAGGCAGCAGUGGGGAAUAUUGCACAAUGGGCUCAAGCCUGAUGCAGCCAUGCCGCGUGUGUGAUGAAGGUCUUCGGAUUGUAAAGCACUUUAAGUUGGGAGGCGUUACCAACAGAAUAAGCACCGGCUAACUUCGUGCCAGCAGCCGCGGUAAUAC